rnacentral:rRNA from 1 species
AGUGAACGCUGGCGGUAGGCCUAACACAUGCAAGUCGAACGGCAGCACAGUAAGAGCUUGCUCUUACGGGUGGCGAGUGGCGGACGGGUGAGGAAUACAUCGGAAUCUACUUUUUCGUGGGGGAUAACGUAGGGAAACUUACGCUAAUACCGCAUACGACCUACGGGUGAAAGCAGGGGAUCUUCGGACCUUGCGCGAUUGAAUGAGCCGAUGUCGGAUUAGCUAGUUGGCGGGGUAAAGGCCCACCAAGGCGACGAUCCGUAGCUGGUCUGAGAGGAUGAUCAGCCACACUGGAACUGGGACACGGUCCAGACUCCUACGGGAGGCAGCAGUGGGGAAUAUUGGACAAUGGGCGCAAGCCUGAUCCAGCCAUACCGCGUGGGUGAAGAAGGCCUUCGGGUUGUAAAGCCCUUUUGUUGGGAAAGAAAAGCAGCAGGUUAAUACCCUGCUGUUCUGACGGUACCCAAAGAAUAAGCACCGGCUAACUUCGUG